rnacentral:rRNA from 1 species
GAUGAACGCUGGCGGCGUGCCUAAUACAUGCAAGUCGAGCGAACAGACGAGGAGCUUUCUCCUCUGACGUUAGCGGCGGACGGGUGAGUAACACGUGGAUAACCUACCUAUAAGACUGGGAUAACUUCGGGAAACCGGAGCUAAUACCGGAUAAUAUAUUGAACCGCAUGGUUCAAUAGUGAAAGACGGUUUUGCUGUCACUUAUAGAUGGAUCCGCGCCGCAUUAGCUAGUUGGUAAGGUAACGGCUUACCAAGGCAACGAUGCGUAGCCGACCUGAGAGGGUGAUCGGCCACACUGGAACUGAGACACGGUCCAGACUCCUACGGGAGGCAGCAGUAGGGAAUCUUCCGCAAAGGGCGAAAGCCUGACGGAGCAACGCCGCGUGAGUGAUGAAGGUCUUCGGAUCGUAAAACUCUGUUAUUAGGGAAGAACAAAUGUGUAAGUAACUAUGCACGUCUUGACGGUACCUAAUCAGAAAGCCACGGCUAACUACGUG